CGGCGCCUAACCCACUGAGCACAGGUGCCACCAAUGACUGACCCGGUUAAGCUCAAAAGCAGUCUGGAGACAGAAUGUCCUCUUCUCAGAAGACCUCUGUCUUUCACCUUAAGACCUUCAGUGAUUGAAUGAGGCCCAUCCACAUUAUGGAAGAUUAAUAUGAGGGUACAUAUGAUUAAGUUACAUUGUUUGCAUUUGUAAAGUAAAGACUGAGUUGCUGUUAAGUCCUUCAUCCAUCUUAUAGAUGAAAAAUUAAGGGACAUUCAACAAUUGGUACUGGAAUUUCUGGGCAUCUACAAAAAGAAGAGAAAGAAGAAGAAUCAUCCAGACAUAGACCUUACACCUUUCACAAAAAUUAACUUUAAAUGUAUCACAGACCUAAAUAUGAUACACAAACUGAAGACUCUUAGAAGAUAACACAGGAGAAAAUUUAGAUGACCUUGCGUAUGAUAAUGCAUUUUUUUACAUACAACAUUAAAAACACAAUUCAGGAAAGAAAAAAAGUGAUAAGUUGGGCUUCAUUAAUAUUAAAAACUACUUCUCUGUGAAAGACAUUGUUAAGAACAUGAACAGACAAGCCAAAGACUGGGAGAAAAUAUUUGAAAAACAUAUCUCUGAUAAGACCUUAUAGCCAAUAUAUACAAAGACCUCUUAAAAUUCAGUAAUAAGAAAAUAACAACCCAAUUAAGAAGUGGACAACAGGUCUGAACAGAAACCUCUGCCAAGGGGAUACACAAUUGGUAAAUAGACAUGUGAAAAGAUGGCCGACAUCAUAUGUCAUCAAGGAUUUACAAUUUAAAACAAGAUACUACUACAUGCCUAUUUUCAUAAACUGCCAAAAAAUCCAAAAUACUGACAACAUUAAAUGCUGAAGAAAAUGUGUAGCAAAGGACCUCUCAUUCAUUACUGGUGGGAAUGUAAAAUGGUAUGAUUUUGGAGGAAAUUCUGGCAGUUUCUUACAAAACUAAACAUACUUAUAUAUGAUCCAUCCAUCAAUUGCACUUCCUUGGUAUUUACCCAAAUGUAUUAAAAAUGAAUGUCCACACAAAAACCUGCACAUGAAUGUUUAUAAUAGCUUUAUUUAUAAUUAUCAAAAUGUGGAAGCAAUGAAAAUGUCUUUCAUUAGAUGAAUGAAUAAACUGUGGUACAUAUAUACCAUGGAAUCUUAUUCAGCACCUAAAAAGAAUGAGCUAUCAAGACACAAAAAGACAUGUAUGGAACUUAAAAACAUAUUGUUAAGUGACUGAAAAGUCCUUAUACUGUAUAAUUCCAACUAUAUGCCAUUCUUUUGAAGCUCAAAACCAUGGCAACAGGUAAAAAGAACAGCAGGGAAUAGGGAAGCAGAGAGAGAGGUAAGGAAUGAGUAAAUAGAUCACAGGGGAUUUUUAGGACAGUGAAACUAUUCUGUAUAUGUGUGUAAUAGUGUUAUGGUAGAUACACAUCUUUAUACAUUUGUCAAAUACCAUAGAGUGUACAAUACAAAAAGUGAAGUUUAAUGUAAACAAUGUACUUUAGCUAAUAAAGUAUCAAUAUUGGCUAAUCAGUUGUAACAAAUGUACCUCACUAUUGAAGAUGUUAAUAAGAGAAACUGGCGGACGGUGCAGUGGUAUAUGGAAAAUAUUUCACUUUCUGCCUAUUUUUAUGUAAAGCUAAAACUGCUCUAAA